UUCAUAAUACCUGUCUAACUGGAAAUUUGA
rnacentral:piRNA from 1 species